rnacentral:lncRNA from 1 species
UUUUAAGGCUGGUAGUACCUUGUGAGGACACUCGACCCAUGGAAAGGAAAGUGUAUUCCGCGGAGUAAAUUUUGGACAAAAUAGGUAUGAGUUUUAUUCCGAUAUGUCGGUUAACUCAGGAGUAUGAAGGAAUGAAGUAAUAUUGGACUUAAAGGAGGUGUAAUGUUGGGAUAUGGAACAAUUGUAACUCCCAGGAUGAGUUAAAGCCAUACAGGUGUUGAAGUGGGUCCAUAACCCACAGGCCCAGGAAAUUAAUAGGAACCAAGCAGUCCCGGGAAGAAGAAAGUGGGAAGAAGCUAUGAUUCCAUCAGCAGACAUUUCCUUAGGAGGUUACGAAAACCCAAGAGUUAUGAAUAACGAUAGAUGUUUUGUUCAGCUUGCAGAAUUAAUGGAUAUAUCUGAACUAAUUCUCUCAAGGAAAUCUCUAAAACUUUAUUUUUCAAAAACAUCAUUUACCUCUCAUCUUUUCAUAUUUUAUCUAAUAGUUCCUCUUACCUCAAACAGUUAGAAUAUACCCCGUUCCCUUUUGACCACACGGAGGAUCAACUCAAUCCGCUCUAAGAAGGAAAAGAUAUUGGACAACUGAUGACCUCUUCAAAGUAACAAGGAUUUCAUCAUGCAUUAGAAGAGUUGAAUCUGCAAUAGUUGAAGACUCCGAAGACUUGAAGAAUCUGAAUAAUUAUUUUACCUUUAGAAGACCAAACCCCUGUUAUAUACUUACGUUAGACGCGACAAUUUGUGAGUUGUCAUUUGUUUGAUGUUUUUCCGACAGCAACAAAAUAAAACCCGUUUCAUCAAAACUAUUGUUUGUAUUGCAUGUAUCUCCCUCUAUCUUCCGUAUCUCAUACCAAAACACUUGGACCCAAUAGAUGAUGAAUGAAGAUGGAGUUGUAUUUCCGAGAUCAAUGACACAACCAGAGGUAGCACAAUGGAUACGGAACAUGGAAGAUCGCAUAUAGGAUCACCAUAUUGAAGGAGAGUAUAUGGUUCCAUACACCUUACGGCGCAUCACACAAGGUGCUGCAACAUGGCGAGAGAUACAUCAAGCUAUACAAGGAUGGAAUGAAGCAAAUGCUUGGGAAGAAUUCAAGACGAUUCUACUGAGGUCUGGUUUUAUCCAGAAGCCCGGUGACAGUAAAAUGAAGCAAACUUGUGCAUGCAAGAUAUGUGGAGAAAUAGCACACACCCAGGAGGAACACAAGGAUGGAUGCCCACAUUGUGAGGAGAAUCACCCAGCAGAAGAAUGCCCGACUGGGCAAGUUACUUGUUUCCUAUGUGAAGGAACUACACACUACCCUAGUCAAUGCCACAUUUACCCCAAGGUACAAGAAAUUACCAAGCAGCAGAAAGAAGCCCUCAGGGAAAGUUUAGAAGAACACGUUAUGAAGGAAGUUGUUGAAGACCCUGAAGAAGAAGGCCUAAACAGAUUUUACUCCAACGCUUGCUAUUCAUGUGGAGAAGAAGGACAUUUUUCAGAGUAUUGCACGAGGGAAAGCCAAGAGUAUCUCAGAGACUUCCCGACAGCAGAAGUGAAGUUUGACCCUCAGGAAAUAGAAGCUUUCAUCAUUAUGGAGAAAUCCAGGAAGAGAAAACGAAGGCAUCCCUAGAACAACUCAAUUUCUGCAGAGAAGGACUUGAGUCAUAUCACUUGUUACAGGUGCAAGGAUUUAGGUCAUUACGCUAGUAAAUGUCCAGAAAAGAAGCCAAGAAUCAAAGGAGCCUACAUAAUCACGAAGAAGCCCCGAGACAUUUGUUUUCGCUGCAAGGAAGCAGGACAUUUUUCUAGGGAAUGUUCAGACCAGAAGAAAGCUGGAGCUGAGUAGUUGAGAUUUUGAUAUGGAUAAUAAGAGUAGUAGAAAGCAAUUUUAUUUUCAUAAGUUCGAUGAGUUGAAUUAUGUAAUCGAAGCCUUAGAGUUUGUAAUGAAUUCAUGAAUCAAUAAAGUUAACGUGUCAUGAUUUCAUAUGUUGAAUUGUAUGAGUUAUUACUUUACGAACACAUAUGUUGACCAUUUUUGAGGAUAUGAGAAAUAUGGUCUACGGAUGGAUUUGUGUAUUACUUUUUAAGGGUGGUAUUACCCUGUGAGGACACUCGACCCAUGGAAAGGAAAAUGUAUUCAGCGGAGUAAAUUUUGGACAAAAUAGGUAUGAGUUUUAUUCUGAUAUGUCGGUUAACUCAGGAGUAUGAAGGAAUGAAGUAAUAUUGGACUUAAAGGAGGUGUAAUGUUGUAAUAUGGAACAAUUGUAACUCCCAGGAUGAGUUAAAGCCAUACAGGUGUUGAAGUGGGUCCAUAACCCACAGGCCCAGGAAAUUAAUAGGAACCAAGCAC